rnacentral:rRNA from 1 species
AGAUUGAACGCUGGCUGCAUGCCUUACACAUGCAAGUCGAACGGUAGAGUAGCAAUACUUGAGAGUGGCGAACGGGUGAGUAAUAUAUCGGAACGUGCCCAGUCGGUGGGGGAUAACGUAGAGAAAUUUACGCUAAUACCGCAUACGAUCUAUGGAUGAAAGGCGGGGGGAACCGAAAGGCCUCGCGCGAUUGGAGCGGCCGAUGUCAGAUUAGCUUAGGUUGGGUAGGGGUAAACGGCCCACCAAGGCGACGAUCUGUAGCUGGUCUGAGAGGACGACCAGCCACACUGGAACUGAGACGACGGUCCAGACUCCGUACGGGAGGCAGCAGGUGGGAAUUUUAGGACAAGUGGGCGCAAGCCUGAUCCAG